AAAGAUUAAGCCAUGCAUGUGCAAGUUCAGACCCUCGCACGGUGAAACCGCGAAUGGCUCAUUAAAUCAGUCGAGGUUCCUUAGAUGAUCCAAAUCUACUUGGAUAACUGUGGUAAUUCUAGAGCUAAUACAUGCCCACCAGCUCCGACCGGGGCCGUCUCUUCCGGGCCCCACAAAGGCUUCGGGGGGGCGGUCUCGGAAAGAGCGCUUUUAUUAGUUCCAAACCAGUCGGCUCGCGGCCCUCCGGUCCCCAAAAGGCCGCGGGGGUCCGGCCGUCCCUCUGCUGGUGACUCUGGAUAACUUUGUGCCGAUCGCACGGCCUCCGCGCCGGCGACGCAUCUUUCAAAUGUCUGCCCUAUCAAAUGACGAUGGUACGUGAUCGGCCUACCAUGUUGGCCACGGGUAGCGGGGAAUCGGGGUUCGAUUCCGGAGAGGGAGCCUGAGAAACGGCUACCACAUCCAAGGAAGGCAGCAGGCGCGCAACUUACCCACUCCUGGCCCGGGGAGGUAGUGACGAAAAAUAACAAGGCGGGACUCUUUCGAGGCUCCGUCAUUGGAAUGAGCACACUCUAAACCCUUGCACGA
rnacentral:rRNA from 1 species